ensembl:miRNA
GUGGUUAGCGCGCCUGCCUGUAACCCAGAGGUAAUGGGUUCAAGGUUCGUCGCUGUUAC